CAUGCAGUCGAACGGUGAACACGGAGCUUGCUCUGUGGGAUCAGUGGCGAACGGGUGAGUAACACGUGAGCAACCUGCCCCUGACUCUGGGAUAAGCGCUGGAAACGGCGUCUAAUACUGGAUACGAGUAGCGACCGCAUGGUCAGUUACUGGAAAGAUUUAUUGGUUGGGGAUGGGCUCGCGGCCUAUCAGCUUGUUGGUGAGGUAAUGGCUCACCAAGGCGUCGACGGGUAGCCGGCCUGAGAGGGUGACCGGCCACACUGGGACUGAGACACGGCCCAGACUCCUACGGGAGGCAGCAGUGGGGAAUAUUGCACAAUGGGCGCAAGCCUGAUGCAGCAACGCCGCGUGAGGGAUGACGGCCUUCGGGUUGUAAACCUCUUUUAGCAGGGAAGAAGCGAAAGUGACGGUACCUGCAGAAAAAGCGCCGGCUAACUACGUGCCAGCAGCCGCGGUAAUACGUAGGGCGCAAGCGUUAUCCGGAAUUAUUGGGCGUAAAGAGCUCGUAGGCGGUUUGUCGCGUCUGCUGUGAAAUCCGGAGGCUCAACCUCCGGCCUGCAGUGGGUACGGGCAGACUAGAGUGCGGUAGGGGAGAUUGGAAUUCCUGGUGUAGCGGUGGAAUGCGCAGAUAUCAGGAGGAACACCGAUGGCGAAGGCAGAUCUCUGGGCCGUAACUGACGCUGAGGAGCGAAAGGGUGGGGAGCAAACAGGCUUAGAUACCCUGGUAGUCCACCCCGUAAACGUUGGGAACUAGUUGUGGGGUCCAUUCCACGGAUUCCGUGACGCAGCUAACGCAUUAAGUUCCCCGCCUGGGGAGUACGGCCGCAAGGCUAAAACUCAAAGGAAUUGACGGGGACCCGCACAAGCGGCGGAGCAUGCGGAUUAAUUCGAUGCAACGCGAAGAACCUUACCAAGGCUUGACAUAUACGAGAACGGGCCAGAAAUGGUCAACUCUUUGGACACUCGUAAACAGGUGGUGCAUGGUUGUCGUCAGCUCGUGUCGUGAGAUGUUGGGUUAAGUCCCGCAACGAGCGCAACCCUCGUUCUAUGUUGCCAGCACGUAAUGGUGG
rnacentral:rRNA from 1 species